rfam:Hylemonella gracilis ATCC 19624 Contig169, whole genome shotgun sequence.
GCGGGAAUAGCUCAGUUGGUAGAGCGCAACCUUGCCAAGGUUGAGGU